GCCCGAUGAACCUGAAUAUCCUUUAUGGAAAAUUCAUCAUUAUGAUUUUAAUAUUAAUAAUAUUAUAAUAAUGGUGUGCAUUUUUUCCAUAUAUGGACAUUGUAAUCUANUAAUAUUUAAUAUUUAUGAUAAGAUCAUUAGCUUUUUAGUUUAUUCUAAUUAUUUUGCUUGCAUUUUAACAUAGAAUAAAUGCUUUUGAUUUGANAAAGUGUUGAUAGAUUUAUUAUAUAUAGUGCUUGAAAUUUUAUAUUCUAUAAUGGCAUAUUGAUCAUUGAUCUUUGUGUUUUUAUUAUAUGCACUUAUAUGAUUAACAAUGCGAAAGAUUCAGGAUACUUCGGG
rnacentral:rRNA from 1 species